UUGUUAAUGUACUAACGGUUAAAAUUGAACAAAAGAAAUAUUGGUACACAUACAAAAUAUAUGUUAGAUGUUGAAAUGAAUCACACACAUAAUGAGAGAAAUCUGGUAAACGUGUGUUGGGUUGAUAUCAUAAACAAUUCUUACUGUGUGUAUGUAGAGGUUGAUAAUAUCUUUGAACUACAACAAACCUGGAGAAGAGAAACAGCUUGAAAAACAAUGAGGGCCGACAUCGUUGUUGUUCUCUUGAUGUAUCAUAUGUUGCAGAAAGCUGGUUGCAGAGAAUCAGAUUCUGUCAGUAUACACAAGUUAUCAAGUGAGCUGCCUCUAGCAAACAUGAUGGAGUGGUUUGCUCAUCUCUACAUUCCUGUUCAUGCUGUGUCUGAGGAGUGUCGUGCUCACAGUAACCACCUGUUGCUCAGUGUCUUGCGAGGCGAGAUCUGGGCUCUUCAGAUAUUGGAUUCAUGCACCAAGUUACCCCCUGGUUUGACAGGAAGUCAUUUCAUGGACUUCGGCCACUACUCUCGGUGUGUCUCAGUAUAUGAGCCCGAUCAGUUGUUCAAGGGCCAACACAUUCUGGUGGAGACAAGGGGCAUUUUUCUUCCAGAAAUAUAUUCCUACUUUGGCCGGGAGGUAGGUGAUGGCAGUCAGGCAUCCGGUGAGAUUACAUUCUCUAUAUGUGUUCCUUCGUCAUGCUCUGUUGAAGAUGUUGAAACACAUUUGAAAUAUCACUUAGCCUCAAUCAAUGUAUUCUCUGGUGAUCUUGAUUUGAAAUGUUCUACUGCAGAGCCUCUGCUUUUUGAAAUAAAACUCUUUACAGCAAUGGCUCUGCUCAUGAUCGUUGUUGGACUUGUUAUUUGGAGUACUUCUUAUGAAUAUUUUAGAAUAUGUUCUAAACCAAAAUCAGAAAUGCUGAAAGCAUUUUCAGUGAUGGACAACUGGAAAUAUCUGACUGAAACGAAGACGCUGAGUGAAGGCGUUGAGGUAACCUGUGUCAGUGGAAUACGUGUGUUGUCUGUGGCAGUUACUGUACUAGCUCACCGCCUGAAACUAUCUACAGAGACUUCUAGCUUCAGUAUACAGGUUCCAAACAACGUUAGCAUGUUCUCUGAGUUUGAAAAUGGUUUUCUUGGUGCUGAAAUCUUCUUCUUGAUUGGUGGUGUAGUCAGAUCCUACAAUUUCUUCCGUGAUAGGCACAGAGGAAGACCUUUCAGUAUUGUCUCAUCAAUACUUAUACGAUAUCUCAGGUACACACCAGCACUGGCAGGAGUAAUGUUGUUCAACUAUGGACUCCUGGUUGUGUGUGGCCAAGGCCCGCUGUGGCAGAGGUUCACCAGUCAUCCCGUUGGUGCUUGCUGCCAGUUCUGGUGGACAGGAUUGCUUCACAUCGCAAACUAUGUCAAUCCUACAGCUAUGUGUGUACACCACAGUUGGUAUCUUGCCUCUGACUUCCAGCUUUUUCUGGCUUCUCCUCUUUUUCUCAUCCCCCUUUACUUCCGGCCUCAGUUGGGUCUGAUGAUGCUAGCUGUUACCAGCAUUGCUUCAGUAGUCGCCCUUUUCUUUCAUUCACAUUCCAGUGCAAUCUAUAGUGAAAAGAUGACAGGCUUAUCCAGCCACAGAGGAAACAACCUGAUAAGUGGAAAUAAUAUUACUUCUCAUUCCCGAGCAUCGCCAUAUCUACUGGGACUUGCAUUGGGCUACAUAUUGUUCAUGGUGCAUAAUAACCGGCUACAUCUCAGGUUAUCAAAGCCUAUGAUCCCGAGCUCACCCACUGGCUCUAUCCAGUCUGGAACGUUUUCAGCAGAUUUGUAGUUGCUUCCACAGCUGCUUGGGUGAUUCUGGUCUGUUCUCUUGGGCAUGGAGAAUGGUUAAAUCAACUUCUUUCAUGGAGGGGGUUCCAAAUGCUUUCCAAACUUGUGUUGGGGGUUUACCUUGUCCAUUUCAAUGUCAUCAUUGUACAACUGUUCCAAAUGAAUCAGCC
rnacentral:misc_RNA from 1 species